rnacentral:rRNA from 1 species
GACGAACGCUGGCGGCGUGCUUAACACAUGCAAGUCGAACGGAAAGGCCCUGCUUUUGUGGGGUGCUCGUGUGGCGAACGGGUGAGUAACACGUGAGUAACCUGCCCUUGACUUUGGGAUAACUUCAGGAAACUGGGGCUAAUACCGGAUAGGAGCUCCUGCUGCAUGGUGGGGGUUGGAAAGUUUCGGCGGUUGGGGAUGGACUCGCGGCUUAUCAGCUUGUUGGUGGGGUAGUGGCUUACCAAGGCUUUGACGGGUAGCCGGCCUGAGAGGGUGACCGGCCACAUUGGGACUGAGAUACGGCCCAGACUCCUACGGGAGGCAGAAGUGGGGAAUAUUGCACGAUGGGCGGAAGCCUGAUGCAGCAACGCCGCGUGCGGGAUGACGGCCUUCGGGUUGUAAACCGCUUUCGCCUGUGACGAAGCGUGAGUGACGGUAAUGGGUAAAGAAGCACCGGCUAACUACGUG